rnacentral:rRNA from 1 species
UACGUAGGUGGCAAGCGUUGUCCGGAAUUAUUGGGCGUAAAGCGCGCGCAGGUGGUUUCUUAAGUCUGAUGUGAAAGCCCACGGCUCAACCGUGGAGGGUCAUUGGAAACUGGGGAACUUGAGUGCAGGAGAGAAGAGUGGAAUUCCACGUGUAAGCGGUGAAAUGCGUAGAGAUGUGGAGGAACAUCUGGUGGCGAAGGCGGCCAUCUGGACCGCACUGACACUGAGGCACGAAAGCGUGGGGAGCAAACAGG